AUUGAACGCUGGCGGCAUGCCUUACACAUGCAAGUCGAACGGCAGCAUGGAAGAGCUUGCUCUUCUGAUGGCGAGUGGCGAACGGGUGAGUAAAGCAUCGGAACGUACCGUGUAAUGGGGGAUAACGUAGCGAAAGUUACGCUAAUACCGCAUACGACCUGAGGGUGAAAGCAGGGGAUCGCAAGACCUUGCGUUAUACGAGCGGCCGAUGUCAGAUUAGCUAGUUGGUAGGGUAAAGGCCUACCAAGGCGACGAUCUGUAGCGGGUCUGAGAGGAUGAUCCGCCACACUGGGACUGAGACACGGCCCAGACUCCUACGGGAGGCAGCAGUGGGGAAUUUUGGACAAUGGGGGAAACCCUGAUCCAGCCAUGCCGCGUGAGUGAAGAAGGCCUUCGGGUUGUAAAGCUCUUUCGGCCGGGAAGAAAUCGCACAGGCUAAUACUCUGUGUGGAUGACGGUACCGGCAUAAGAAGCACCGGCUAACUACGUGCCAGCAGCCGCCGUAA
rnacentral:rRNA from 1 species